GAUUCCUCCGAGGACCCCGACCCCAAAACCAGCAGGAAACGCAGCCAGUCGAGGUGAGCUCCUAUUCCGGUCCUCCCCGACGACAUCCCCACCACCACCACCAUUUUCCGGGAGCUUCCCGACCUUCCUGGUGGUUUUUCCCCAGGGCGCCGACGGGAGCGAAGCUAAACCCGCCGCGCAGCCCCAAGGAGAUCAGCAGCCAGUCCAGGCCGCGGAGAGAGCGGCUGCCCCUCGCUUCCGGCCACGGUACCGCCGGCCUUUCCGUCCCCGGCCUCCCCCUCAACCGGCCACGGAGGGAGGCGACGGCGAAACCAAAGCGGUGCCGGCACCGGCUGACGGCGUCCGCCCCGAACCCCAGCGCCAGCGCAACCGGCCCUACUUCCAGCGGCGCCGGCAGCAGCCCGGGCCGGCCCGGCCGGCCACCGCUGCCGAGCCUCUGGCCACCAAGGAGCCGCCGGCCCCCAGCUCCCCGGCAGCCGGCGGUGACACCCCGGCCUCCGGCGCUCCGGUCCCCGAGGCAGCGCUGGACACAGGCAAAGCCGCCGUCGCCCCCGAGGCCGUUGCCCCACCGGCCCCCGAGCACCAGCUCUUGGAAGCAACGCUCUCGCCGCAGACUUCGGCGCCCGAACCCGGAGGAGAGCCGGCUCCGGCGCUGCUGGUGUAGAGCCGCCGCGCUCGCCGGAGGGAUGCCGAGAGCCGUGAUCUGGUGUCCCGCCAGCCCUCAGCCUGCACAGCGAUCCCGACUCCUCCACCCGCCCCGUCCCCCCUUUUCUCUCCGCGGCGGCCACGAGCGGGGGAUCUUGGCCCGAAACCGGAUGAUCUUUGUUUUAAAAAAAAAAAAAAAAAGAGGAGAAAAAGAAAAAGGGAAAAAAAAAAAGAAAACCCUCCCGUUUUUCCCCCUCAAAGUCCCCAUCCAGAGAGAAAACUGGUUGUUGACAGGUAUUUAAGUUACUCGCCCUCUCCUUGUCCUCGGAGGCACCAGAGCACUGUGCAGGUCGGGUGUGGAGUAAAGGGAUUUUGCACCGAUUUCACCCGUGUUUCGGGUCUUUUUUUUUCCCCGGUGGUUUAAGGGCAGCCGGGUGCCGCGAGCGGACGGAGACCCUUCGAGCCGCCGGCGGCCGUCUGCAAGGUUUCGGCUGCCCCGAAAGGGCCCGGAGCAGCUCCUGUGCCUCGGUUUCCCCCUCCGGUGAGCCCCCGCCGGGCUUUUCCGUGCCGCUCCGGAUGGAGACGGUGGUGAGGGGGGAUCCUGAAAGGGCGUCGGGGACCGGCUGAGGCGAAUUCUUGGCCGCGCGAAGCCUCGGCCCCAGGGGACAGCUAAUUCCCCUCCCGCGCCGGCACCUAAAUGUCACCGCAAAGUGACUCCGCCGGGGCCCCGGGCCAAGGAAUUCCGGGCCCUGGCUCUGAGCUGGGGCCAUGUCCCUGGCAGAUUUCCCCCCCCCCUUUACCGAGGCUGCUUUUGGGGUGUAAAUCAGCCCCUCGGUGCCAGCAUCCCCCUUCCUCAUGCUUGGGAGGGGGUUAUUAUCCCCCUCCCACCUUGGCCGGCAGCACAACCCCAAUACGAGACACAGGAGAAUACCCACUCCAUAGGGGGGUGCUGCCCGU
rnacentral:lncRNA from 1 species